rfam:Candidatus Rokubacteria bacterium 13_1_40CM_4_69_5 13_1_40cm_4_scaffold_381, whole genome shotgun sequence.
UCGCCUGAGGACGCCCCGGAUUCAGGGAAGCUGGUGAGGCCUCUGAAAGAGGCCGAGGCCGGCACGGUCCCGCCACUGUAAGUGGGGAGGGCCGUCCCGUUUCGCUACGGCGAAGCCACUGUCCGUGUCGCACGGAUGGGAAGGCGGGACGGUCGCGACGAUCCACGAGUCAGGAGACCUAUCCGGGGCAAACGCUUCGA